ACUGCGGUUGCUAGUUGACCUAUUUGGGUCUCUAGCUUAGCAAUGGAUUGCGUGUGGGAGUUAAGAGUUUGGGUGUUGACUUCUAAUCGUUCUAGUGCUUUUAGAACCUUCUCCUCAAAAGUUGAGCUGUGACCAGUGGUAGACGGUUGAGGAGCAUUUUGGAACUGGUGGUAUGGUCCAUGCCUAUAUGUCGGGUCCUGAUAGUU
rnacentral:lncRNA from 1 species